GAAGAAACACAGAGAACCACCCCAUGCUAUUCACUGCUUCUCCUGAGACACCAGAGCCAGCCUAGUUCUCUUGCCAUUGGCCUGAGACCUCCUAUCAACAGAGCCCUCACUUUCUUACCUCCUCGCUGGGAUCCAGUCUGGUGAUAUGAUGGCACUUCUGGAAGCAGUCGUCUUCUCCUUUUUCUGGGCUGUUGGCCUUGGGAUGUUAAGGUUGGAGCAACCUGAAAUAUCAAUUACUGCAGCAAGACAGAAGAGUGCCCUCAUAGCUUGUAAGGUGUCCUCUGAAAAUUUUAACGACGCAUACAUUCACUGGUACCGGCAUAAAUCAGAUCAGGGUAUGGAACAUCUCAUGUACCAUGUAACAGUCUUUACUCUAAGCCACUUAGGAGAGAAGAAAAACAAACUUGAGGCAAGAAAAAUUGCUUCCACUUCCACUGCCACCUUGAAAAUAAAUUUCUUGGAGCAAGAAGAUGAGGCCACAUAUUACUGUGCAAGCUGGUUUUAUAGCUCACGCUGGAUCAAGAUAUUUGGAGAGGGGACUAAGCUCAUAGUAACUCCCCCUGAUAGAAACCUUGCUGCAGACAUGUCCCCUAAGCCCACUAUAUUUCUUCCUUCGAUUGCUGAAAUAAACCUCCAUAACACUGGGACACAUCUUUGUCUUCUUGAGAAAUUUUUCCCUGAUGCUAUUAAGGUAUAUUGGAAAGAAAAGAAUGGCAAUACGGUUCUGGAUUCCCAGCAGGGAGAUGUCAUCCAGACUAACGACACGUACAUGAAAUUCAGCUGGCUGACGGUGACUCAAAAGUCAGCAGACAAAGAACACAUAUGUAUCGUCAAACAUGAGAAUAACAAAAGAGGAACUGAUCAAGAGAUUCUUUUUCCUUCAAUGAACAAAGAGGUCACUACAGAUGUUUGCCUGAAAGAUACAAGUGGUACAAUGCAACUGCAGCUCACAAACACCUCUGCCUAUUACACCUACCUCCUUCUACUCCUCAAGAGCGCCCUCUACUUCGCCAUCAUCACCUACUGUCUGUUUCGAGAAACAACAGUCUGUAGCGCCUGGAAGAGGUCCUGACAGAUGAUGCACCAAGGGCUCAACUUUCCUUCAUCAUCAUCUCUACAAGUGUCUGUUGAGGAUCUAGCAGCACUUCCUUUCUGGGUUUGGCUUCUUUCAGAGAAUGUGUACAUCUUUCUGUUAGGUCAUCAUUGUGUAAGGAUUUUUCAAACCACUGGGCAAACAGACCCUUGCACUGCAUAACAAGGAAUUCUGCCAUGACUCGGGCAGGGCUGAGGGCUGGUCCCAGGAGCCUUUCCCACCACUGUCCCUCAGUGUCAGCAGCUCCUCCGGCUGCCUGAGUCCUCUUGCCUUGUGAGCACACACAGCACAGCGCACAGCUCCCCGUCUCCUCCCUCAGGGCUCCACCCAGACCACAGCCCUGACCUUCCCUGUACACAUCUGGAGCCCCCAGCUUAGCUGCUUGAAUUCUGUUCUCUGGUUUUCAUAAUAGGCAUAAUCAAUUAAAAAGAUAUUCAAACUUCA